rnacentral:rRNA from 1 species
GACGAACGCUGGCGGCGUGCUUAACACAUGCAAGUCGAGCGGUAGUGCCCUUUCGGGGGUAUGAGAGCGGCGAACGGGUGAGUAACACGUGAGCAAUCUGCCCUUCACUCUGGGAUAGCCACCGGAAACGGUGAUUAAUACCGGAUAUGACCAUGCCAGGCAUCUGGUGUGGUGGAAAGUUCUGGCGGUGAAGGAUGGGCUCGCGGCCUAUCAGCUUGUUGGUGAGGUAAUGGCUCACCAAGGCUUCGACGGGUAGCCGGCCUGAGAGGGUGACCGGCCACACUGGGACUGAGACACGGCCCAGACUCCUACGGGAGGCAGCAGUGGGGAAUAUUGGACAAUGGGCGAAAGCCUGAUCCAGCAACGCCGCGUGAGGGAUGACGGUCUUCGGGUUGUAAACCUCUUUCAGCAGGGACGAAGCGCAAGUGACGGUACCUGCAGAAGAAGCACCGGCCAACUACGUGCCAGCAGCCGCAGUAACAC